rnacentral:rRNA from 1 species
AGGCAUGCAAGUCGUGCGCGAAUCGUAGCAAUACGAGGAGAGCGGCGAAAGGGAGAGGAUACCAUAGAUACCUACCCUCGGACCUGGGAUAGCUAUGGGAAACUAUAGGUAAUACCAGAUAACGUCUCCGGACCAAAGGUGUGAUUCCGUCCGGGGAGGGGUCUAUGUCCUAUUAGCUUGUUGGUGAGGUAACGGCUCACCAAGGCCAAGAUGGGUACGAGGCGUGAGAGCGUGUCCUCGCUCACUGGGACUGAGACACUGCCCAGACACCUACGGGUGGCUGCAGUCGAGAAUCUUCGGCAAUGGGCGCAAGCCUGACCGAGCGACGCCGCGUGUGGGAUGAAGGCCUUCGGGUUGUAAACCACUGUCAGUGCGGAGGAAAUAUAGGGGGGUACUCCCCUCUAUUUGACCUAUGCGCAGAGGAAGGACGGGCUAAGUUCGUGCCAGCAGCCGCGGUAAGACGAACCGUCCAAACGUUAUUCGGAAUCACUGGGCUUAAAGGGUGCGUAGGCGGUCCGAUAAGUUGGGUGUGAAAGACCUCGGCCCAACCGAGGAAUGGCGCCCAAAACUGUCGGACUCGAGCAAGGCAGAGGUGAACGGAACUUAGGGUGGAGCGGUGAAAUGCGUUGAUAUCCUAAGGAACACCAGUAGCGAAAGCGGUUCACUGGGCCUUUUCUGACGCUGAUGCACGAAAGCCAGGGGAGCGAACGGGAUUAGAUACCCCGGUAGUCCUGGUCGUAAACUAUGAGCACUAGAUAGGAGGAAC